AUGAUUGUAACGGCUACCCAGCUGGAGAGGGGUAUCUGCCGUUGGAGACGUCCUUUUCUGUGCAAGCUGCUGUACUGUAAUGGAGUUCUUAUUCCCAUCCACGAUAUCCAAGUGUAUAAUCCGGCAGUGCUGUAAAAUGAGGCAGAGUAACGGUACUAUAAAUCCCCUCCAAGAACGAGACAAGGCUACGUUUUGAAGGGUCAAGUAGAACUGAUGUUUAUUGACAGGGGUCUCCUUUUAUGCAAUGGUGCCCUCUGAAAUGCUACACCCACAUAAUUAAUACAACAGCCAAUUAGAUACAUGGUUCAACCCCCACGUCUCCUCCCCUCAGAUAACAUAUAACAUAAUUAAAACAGACCCCAUUUUUAACCCCAUUCUGGAUAUACCCCACAAACAGGGGGUACACCUUUAAGUCCAGCACCUUGAUAGCUCUCACUCAGGGGAACAAUAUAUCCAAAUUUCAGCCCAUUCGAUUGAGGGGUUCGGGAGUUAUGGAUCUUUGAAGUUUUGACCGACCGCACAGGUUUUCUAGCCGAAAAGAGUUCCAUAAGUUUUGGCCUUGCGGUCGGUCUCCGUUCGUGCAUUAAAACUCCAUGAACCCCUUGCCAUCCACAGUCAUCCUGGGGUUCGCUGGAAUCCCUAUGAGAGCUUAAACAAAACUACCGAACGGCCGGUUGUUCGGUAGUUCUGGCACGAACUUACGAGCUCCUGGAGGUCUCAGCGGUGUUCACCUGUUUGCGUAUCCGUUUUUAGUUCCAUGCGUUCACAGGCAAACACCGCCGUUCAUGUGUAAGAUGGCCGCGAACACGUGUAAAGUCCCUAAAUGGCGGCCAUCUAACCUGAGCACAAAGGAAUUCGUACGAACGGCUCCACAAGCGCUGGGAGUUAUAUUAUCAAUUAACUGUUCCCCUGGGUGGUACGAUGUUCGGUAUUUUGGGCUGUAUCCUCUAGUAGGAACAUUUCCACGAAAAAUAGCCAUUCGGUUUUUGUGUGAUACAUCCAGCAGCGUUGUAAUUUAAGUCCAGGCAAAAAGCAUGGGCAAAAUCAUAGUUCUGUUACAAUGAUUAUUAAAUUCUAAAACUAUUAAUAGUGUAGAGCAAAGGACAAAGAGAAAAAUGUAUAAAGAAAAAUAAAUAAAUAAAUCGCCUUACUGGCAAAACGCUCGUCAGGGCUCUGCUCUGCACUAUACUCUAU